UGAAUUGACGGGGAGCACCACAACGGGUGGAGCUUGCGGUUUAAUUGGAUUCAACGCCGGAAAUCUUACCGGGACCGACAGCAAUAUGAAGGCCAGGCUGAAGACUUUGCCGGAUUAGCUGAGAGGUGGUGCAUGGCCGUCGUCAGUUCGUACCGUGAAGCAUCCUGUUAAGUCAGGCAACGAGCGAGACCCACGCCCACAGUUGCCAGCGUACUCUCCGGAGUGACGGGUACACUGUGGGACCGCCGCUGCUAAAGCGGAGGAAGGAAUGGGCAACGGUAGGUCAGUAUGCCCCGAAUAUCCCGGGCUACACGCGAGCUACAAUGGUUGGUACAAUGGGUAUCUACCCCGAAAGGGGACGGGAAUCUCCUAAAACCAAUCUUAGUUCGGAUUGAGGGCUGCAACUCGCCCUCAUGAAGCUGGAAUCCGUAGUAAUCGCGUUUCAACAGAACGCGGUGAAUACGUCCCUGCUCCUU
rnacentral:rRNA from 1 species